AUUCUUAACGGGUCUCAACCCUGGGUUGAGAGCCUUUUGGACCCCAAAAUACACAAUACCACACACCCCAAACACCAUCUAAACUAUUUGUUUGUAAAACCCAAACCAAACCAUCUAUUAGGCCAAUCCAUUACAAACCAACCCAAAUGAGCUUAUUAUAGAAACUAAACCAAUAAAACCAAUAAAUCCAACCCAAUUAUAUUAACAGGGCUACAUACGGAGUACUAGUAUGAAGUAUUUACUAUACGUCUGUUGACUACUACACACCAAGAUGCCGACGUCACAUCAAGAGUUCAAUUAUUCACAUCCCGAUCUUGAUCUGAGUUUGUAGUUUUGGAAAAUUGGUGUGUACAAAAGACGAUGAGUUUACUUUGCAUUCUUUGAUUUCAAAUGUGUAUUGUAUAGGUGUAUCAUAUGUAUGGCAUACUCUCUCAGUUCCAAAAAGAAUACAACUCAAUCUCACUUCCCGAGGAGUCAAACAGUUUCAAGUUUGACCAAAUUAAUACAAAAAUGUACUAACAUUCAUAUCUAGAAAU
rnacentral:lncRNA from 1 species